rnacentral:rRNA from 1 species
UGGGGAAUUUUGCACAAUGGGGGAAACCCUGAUGCAGCGACGCCGCGUGAUUUAGAAGGCCUUCGGGUUGUAAAAAUCUUUUCUAUGGGAAGAAAAUGACAGUACCAUAGGAAUAAGGACCGGCUAAUUACGUGCCAGCAGCCGCGGUAAUACGUAAGGUCCGAGCGUUGUCCGGAAUCAUUGGGCGUAAAGGGUACGUAGGCGGGUAAGCAAGUUAGAAGUGAAAUCCUAUAGCUCAACUAUAGUAAGCUUUUAAAACUGCUCAUCUUGAGGUAUGGAAGGGAAAGUGGAAUUCCUAGUGUAGCGGUGAAAUGCGCAGAUAUUAGGAGGAAUACCGGUGGCGAAGGCGACUUUCUGGCCAGAUCCUGACGCUGAGGUACGAAAGCGUGGGUAGCAAACAGG